UACGGAGGGUGCAAGCGUUAAUCGGAAUUACUGGGCGUAAAGCGUGCGCAGGCGGUUUGUUAAGUCUGUUGUGAAAUCCCCGAGCUCAACUUGGGAAUUGCAAUGGAUACUGGCAGGCUGGAGUAUGGUAGAGGAAGGUGGAAUUCCCGGUGUAGCAGUGAAAUGCGUAGAGAUCGGGAGGAACACCAGUGGCGAAGGCGGCCUUCUGGACCAAUACUGACGCUCAUGCACGAAGGCGUGGGGAGCAAACAGG
rnacentral:rRNA from 1 species